rnacentral:rRNA from 1 species
CGCGUGCGCGGCCGGGAGGUAGUCUAUCGCGGCGGCGGGGGUUUAGCUGGGGGUUUAGGAAGCACGGGAGGUGGUCUGUGGCGGCAGCGGCGGGGGUUGGUCUGGCGGCGGCGGCAGCGGGGGUUGGCAGGGUAGGCGGGAUUGGUAGGGCGGCGGCGGCUUGCGGGAGGUGGGCCUCGUGAACGCGGCAGCGGGGUUUGGUGCGGUCUCGCCGCCGCGGUUCGUGGCUUAACUGGCGUCGGCGGUUGGUGUGGUCUAGGUUCGGCCGCCGGCGGGAGGUGGGUCUGGUGACGGCGGCGGGGGGGAGGGGUUGGUGAGGUCUCGCCGCGGUGGCUCGGCGGUGAGGUCUGGCGUUCGCCGCUGGUGGGAGGAGGCGGCUUACAGAAGGGAGUGGUGGUGGGUAGAGCGCUCGAAGGAGGGGCUGGUCCGGAGGAGGGGUGUUCGAAGUGGCCUCUUGGUUCGCCCCUGGGGAGGAGAUGCAGGAGAUGGGGUCCGUCGCCUCGCAGCUGGGAGGAGCGCUCGUCGAGACGGAAAGGGACCUGUGGCGACGGAAGAGAUGAAGGAACGAGGUUGGUGCUCUUAAACUGUCGCAAUGAUUUUACGCCACAGAUGGAACACAACCUGUUUGAACUUGAGGUCCAAAUGGCCUCUAAUCACUUCUUUUAGGUAUAGUAGGUCUCCCUCUUCCUUGGUAGAUUCCGUUUAGUUUAGUUCGAUCUCCAGAGACGUUGGUAAAAUCAGCUCAUCGUCAAAACGUUUUCCACUGGCACCGUUUGUAAAAUAGGACAAUGUUCGUGUAAUAAACCUACUUUACCGCAAAUAACAACCACCGAAUAAACAUACGGAUUGUUCAACCCACGAAAAGAAGUCCCAUACAGUAUUGGAGUUGGAAAUCCAAUGAUAUUUGUUCAAAUCUUGCUGUUCUUAUAGUUUAAUAUUGAAAAAUGACAAAACAAUGAUAUUGACCUUACCUUACUCGACACAUGCAAUCGGACUAAGUUUAGGAAAAGUAGAGGUUACUUGCUAGACACAUGUUGUAGUCGGAAGUAAGUUUGAGGUACAUGACUUAUUAAAGUGUCGCACACGACGAUGUCGGUUGCGGGUUGUCGUUCCGUUUGUUUCUUCCGUAAUUUUGUGAACAGGAAUACACUACAUUUUUAACGUAAAAAUAACACGAAGGUCAUGAUCAACGUACAAGUAUACAAUGUUGUCCAAAUAACACGAUACUCUCGAGGUAAGACUCAAAGGCAAGACAACGACCAAAGGGUUUCUAUGUGAUGAACUACCUCUAAACCUACUAGAUGUUCGACGACUUCCAAACGUUCUAGUUGAUAAUUCAACCACCUCACUAUUACAUUACGCGGAACAAACAACUUGAACCCUCUGUAACCGUUCAAGACGAGUAAAACCACCAACAAAACCGUGUAUCCGGUGAUAUACCGGUAAAACCAACGCACUGUGUAAAUCUUUGUAUAUAUGAAGAGGGAAACACCUUGAUGAAGUAAAACCAACACACCGUGUACAUAGAUCUUUGUAAAUACAUGAGAAAAACACCGUGUUAGACGAAUAUAUGCAAGAAUACAAAUA